rnacentral:misc_RNA from 1 species
AGAGUUACUACUCCAAACCCAUUGUGAACCUUACCUAUGUUCUGUUGCCUCGGCGGCGGGUCAGCGCCCCUCCGAAAAGAGGACGAUGCCCCCCGCCGGCAGCACCAAACUCUUGAAUUUUACAGCGGAUUACAGUUCUGAUUUGAAACAAAAAACAAGUUAA